GACGAACGCUGGCGGCGUGCUUAACACAUGCAAGUCGAACGGAAAGGCCCUGCUUGCAGGGUACUCGAGUGGCGAACGGGUGAGUAACACGUGGGUGAUCUGCCCUGCACUUCGGGAUAAGCCUGGGAAGCUGGGUCUAAUACCGGAUAGGAGCCAUUUUUAGUGUGAUGGUUGGAAAGUUUUUUCGGUGUAGGAUGAGCUCGCGGCCUAUCAGCUUGUUGGUGGGGUAAUGGCCUACCAAGGCGGCGACGGGUAGCCGGCCUGAGAGGGUGGACGGCCACAUUGGGACUGAGGUACGGCCCAGACUCCUACGGGAGGCAGCAGUGGGGAAUAUUGCACAAUGGGCGCAAGCCUGAUGCAGCGACGCCGCGUGGGGGAUGACGGCCUUCGGGUUGUAAACUCCUUUCGCUAGGGACGAAGCUUUUUGUGACGGUACCUAGAUAAGAAGCACCGGCUAACUACGUG
rnacentral:rRNA from 1 species